UACGGGGGGGGGCAAGCGUUGUUCGGAAUUACUGGGCGUAAAGGGCUCGUAGGCGGCCAACUAAGUCAGACGUGAAAUCCCUCGGCUUAACCGGGGAACUGCGUCUGAUACUGGAUGGCUUGAGGUUGGGAGAGGGAUGCGGAAUUCCAGGUGUAGCGGUGAAAUGCGUAGAUAUCGGGAGGAACACCUGUGGCGAAAGCGGCUCACUGGACCAUAACUGACGCUGAGGCACGAAAGCUAGGGGAGCAAACAGG
rnacentral:rRNA from 1 species